UUGGCCUACGGGGGGCAGCAGUGGGGAAUAUUGCACAAUGGGGGAAACCCUGAUGCAGCGACGCCGCGUGAGUGAAGAAGUAUCUCGGUACGUAAAGCUCUAUCAGCAGGGAAGAAAAAAAGUCUUUGGCUUUGGACGGUACCUGACUAAGAAGCCCCGGCUAACUACGUGCCAGCAGCCGCGGUAAUACGUAGGGGGCGAGCGUUAUCCGGAAUUACUGGGUGUAAAGGGAGCGUAGACGGCGAGGUAAGCCUGAAGUGGAAGCCCGCGGCCCAACCGCGGAACUGCUUUGGGAACUGUUUUGC
rnacentral:rRNA from 1 species